rnacentral:rRNA from 1 species
CAGCCGCCACGGUAAUACGUAGGUGGCAAGCGUUGUCCGGAAUUAUUGGGCGUAAAGGGCUCGCAGGCGGUUUCUUAAGUCUGAUGUGAAAGCCCCCGGCUCAACCGGGGAGGGUCAUUGGAAACUGGGAAACUUGAGUGCAGAAGAGGAGAGUGGAAUUCCACGAGUAGCGGUGAAAUGCGUAGAGAUGUGGAGGAACACCAGUGGCGAAGGCGACUCUCUGGUCUGUAACUGACGCUGAGGAGCGAAAGCGUGGGGAGCGAACAGGAUUAGAUACCCCCGUAGUCCCUGUCUCUUAUAC